CCUACGGGGGGCAGCAGUCGAGAAUCAUUCACAAUGGGGGAAACCCUGAUGGUGCGACGCCGCGUGGGGGAAUGAAGGUCUUCGGAUUGUAAACCCCUGUCAUGUGGGAGCAAAUUAAAAAGAUAGUACCACAAGAGGAAGAGACGGCUAACUCUGUGCCAGCAGCCGCGGUAAUACAGAGGUCUCAAGCGUUGUUCGGAAUCACUGGGCGUAAGGCGUGCGUAGGCUGUUUCGUAAGUCGUGUGUGAAAGGCGCGGGCUCAACCCGCGGACGGCACAUGAUACUGCGAGACUAGAGUAAUGGAGGGGGAACCGGAAUUCUCGGUAUAGCAGUGAAAUGCGUAGAUAUCGAGAGGAACACUCGUGGCGAAGGCGGGUUCCUGGACAUUAACUGACGCUGAGGCACGAAGGCCAGGGGAGCGAAAGGGAUUAGAUACCCGGGUAGUC
rnacentral:rRNA from 1 species